rnacentral:lncRNA from 1 species
UGCCUUUCUGCUCGAAGCCUGAGACAAGUUAGAGUUUGCUUAUCUGCUGCUUGUUCACAAGAUUCACAGAAUCGUUGCAAUAAGAAUGUACUGCUAAUUGCUCCCUGUGUUGCUGUAUGUCAAUGUUUGGGGGCAAGAAUUGUUAUCUGACGACAUGAUGCUUUUUUGUGUAAAAUGUGAGUUGGAAAAUUCAGAUUAUGCUUCGUUUCAUAACUGUGGCUCGUAAGUUUAUCGAGCUUGUUGGGUUGCAACUUAAGAAUUAGAACUUAGUCUAAAAAAACAAUGGAGUAUAUAAGCAAAUGCGAAAUUUUCGUUUAGGUAAUUCAUAGAUAUAGGCUUGAGUUCCUGUAUUUUCCAUACUGUGAUACUCUGUUUUACAUUUCUCUAAAAUGAGCCACUGUCUUUUAGGAUUUUUUUGUGUGUAUUCCUCGGUUGGGAAACCGAAAGGUAAACUAGGAGAUGAUCAACUUAAAAUGAACAUAAUGGCCGCUCAGUGAGCACUACAUUCUUUUCCUGCCUCAGUACCAAUACUUGCUGCACCUCACUAAUUGACUACUUUUGAUCCUGAUGGGCACUGGGUGACAGACUCUAGUAAUACUGAUGAGGUCUAUCAAAUAUGGAAUAGUCCACCAACCCAUCAUACGCUGAUUUCCGGCAGUUUUUUCUUCUCCCCUGCUUCUCUUUUACCCUUACUGAAUGAUAAGCUACUGCAAGUAGGGUUUGCAUGCUUGAAUCCUUUUCUGUCUGCAUUGUAGAGUUCUAGCAGGGAGUAAAAUGGAAUAAUCCAGUGCCAGUGUAUUAGAUUGUCUUUUAUUUAUCUGUAGUUGGUAAUCAACUUAGUGCUGAUUAGAUUCAUGAUUUUUAAGUUUGGUAACUUUUUUGCCCCGUAGAAGAUAAGCAGAAAACAGCAAUAAAUGUUUGCUUAAGUGAAAAUUGAUCCCAAUUCCUGUCCAUUGUAGUCAAAGCAGUCCAGCGACUACUUUAAGAAUAAGUUCCUGGCAGUCAUUACUUUGGCUAGUGCAUCAUGGUAUCUACUGAUUUAUUGUAUGUGCAUGGUGUGGUAAUUCUAUAAAAUUGUUGACACCUCUACAUUCUACCAAUUUAGAGAAUAAUGGCAUCUACAGCCUCAGUGCAUCACUAACUGGAAAUGGAUAUUUAAGUGAGAUUUCUGCUAUUUAUUCUUUUGACAGAAGAAUGCAUGGUUCAGUUUCUGCUAUUUAUUUUAGCAGAUAGUUAAUGGUUUUGUCUCUUGUACAUGCUGUAUAGUGAAAGACUUGGCAGUACAUAAGGCAAUUAAACACUACCUGACCUUUGACUGCAAUUUUUUUAACAUGCUGUGAUAAUCUGUCUGCCAUCCACCUCCCCUCCACCAAAAGUAACUCUGUGACUGGUGGUGUCAUCUCCAUGAUUUUCACCAUCUUGUUCUAGGGUUUGCAAAAUAUGCCUUCUGAUUGAUUUUUCAUGUGGCUAUUUCUAAGUUGCCUUACUUUAUGUAAGUAGAAAGUUGGUUUUUAUAUAAGUUCCGUACCAAUGCGUGGAUAUUCAGUUAGUAAGACUAUAAUUAUGUGAGCUACGAGGAGUGAAACAAUCAUGAUAUUAGUUUGUUGUUUGUUUCUGACCAUAACAGAACUAAAUCCAAUGAUAAUGCCCAGGAUCAUUAUCUUAUUGCCAAUGCACCUUUUCCAGUAUAUUCUUGAUUACUGAAUGCUCAUAUUUCAUAAUUUCAAUAUAUCUGAGUACAUGGAUGAUUGAAUCUCAUCAUAAUAAAAUCCCCUACUCAGAUAUAUUAAUAUGCGUAAUAAUGAAUAUCCAUCAACAUUUGUCUGUUUAAUGAUUUCUAUUUUCCUAUAUCUGCAUAUACAUUUUAUUUCAUCAGUUUUUCACAUGAAAGCUCACACCAUCAAGUUGCAGUGCUUUGAACCAUAGGCAGGACUCAAAAGCAGAUUCAUUUUGUCUUGCACUCAAAUAUGUAUUUGCUAGCACAUCGUUGUUUCUAUUGAACAAAUCUAAUCGCACCUCUACCCUGAAAGUGUAUUGCUCUAACAUCUUUGCUUUUCCCUGCGAAUUUUCUUAGAAUAUUAGACACACACAACUCUUGCGUUAGUGACUGAGUUUGGAUUGUGCUGAAACUGAAUAACAUCUUGAAGGAUUUUAUGGCUGUACAUCAUUGACUAACGAGAAGGCCUGUAGAUGGCUGGGGACAAGGCAAAGUAUGAUUUGUGUAAUCUGCAAAAGCUAGAUUUGUAGCUAUCUCUUUACUAUACCAGGAGUCACACUAAGUACAAAACAAAGGAAUGAAGUUAGGUGAUUACGAAGUGGCAUGAUUAGACAGAGAUUUCUCUGUUACUAACAUUACCUGCUUCUUUAAUUAAUUAAUUUAUUCCAUAGUAGGUCAGUUUGAUCUAUCCGCAAAAUGCAUAGGAAUGUCACAUAGCACUUUUCCUUUAUUAGCCCCUGUUCUAAGACUUGGAACUCUUAUUGCCUUUUACUUUAUGGGCCCUUUCUGUGAUGCCUCAGUUUUUCCAUUUUCUUAAUGGCAAGUGUUAAUUUAAAUAUAUGCUAUAUUAUAGAUCUGAUGAUCAACUUAGGUGCCCACUUCUUGUAGGUAUGAAAGCCUGAAAAUGUGAGGAAUCUUCCAUGCACAGAGGCCACUAAUGAAUGGGGGUUGCAGGAUUGUGAUGCAAGAACGCAUCAUUCUUCUCUUGUCAUCCAUAUAAUCUUGAAAAAUACUUUUUCACAAGAUGCUGGUUUAUUCAGAUUAUUCUACCCUGUAUCAGUGUCCAAAGUUUCGUUGACUAUCCACAUAUUUCUAAUCCAAAGUAUUAGUUUGAUAAUACCAUUUCUUAUGCCUUAUAUUUAUUUUUCGUGUUUAUUUACUCUUAUACCUGACAUGAAAAUCUAUUAGUUUACUGAAGAAACAUACUUUCGACUGAGCAAUGGAGUUCAACAUGUGUUAGACCCAGUUCACCUUAGUUGAUUCCACUUUUAUUGUGCACUCUCGCAGGUCACAUAAUCACAAGAUGCCUUGUAAUAAAAUCCAUCAUGAUAUGGUGGUUACGAGCACUCCAGCCUUCCAGAUGCAGUUAGUGCUGUUCUUUCCGGCCUUUCCUUUUGCCCCCUUCCUCACUACUGACCCCACAAAUUUUAAUGUCACAAUCAGCUUGAUGCAGAGCAUCUUUGGCAUGAUCUUCCUUGCAUUGGUCCACCAAAUAAUCCCCGUUUAAACUUUUAACUUUUUCUGUAAAUUAUACCUAAGGUGAACAUGUCAAGACCAGGCAAGGAAAAUAAUAAAUAAAAAGGUGCAAGAAUGAUUGUGACGUUUAUGAUGAGGACUGGAAAGUUUAACUAAUUAAGAAAAAAGUUAGGGGGGGAUAAGGGAAUAAUCUAUGGAACUUAUCAACGUUCUAACCGGUUUCUAGUUAGCAUCUAAGGGUUUCUGCUUUGGUCACUUGUAGCAUUUAGGGGGUGAUAACUUAUGUGCUUAGUGGUUUGAAAAGAACAAAUUGAAGGUGUAAAGCCUAGUGCUUUUUCAGGGAAUUCGGUGUAUCCAGCCCUUUGCCCGUGGGCUCCAGGAAAGAUAGAUUCUGUAGCUUGAUUGAGUUCGUAGCCAUAGAUAGGUCUUCUAUUUUCCUGAGACCAUUUGAAGCAGAUAGUGUAAUUUAUGAUAAUUUACAUUUUCUAUAUCUGUUUAGAUAGAUGAAGCCUACUGGUAGGGAGGUACUUUAGUAGUCUACCAGCUCAUUUAUUUAUUGCAUAAAUUCCAACUUGCACCUUUAAGGUUGAUGGAUGGCCAGACCUUAGCCAUGUAGUAGCAUAUUUUGUUGAUUACUGUAGGUGCCGCAAGUUAGUGGUCAAGAUUGUAAUCUAAUCUUGCACAACCGUGUUGUUCCUUGGUGCUCCACCUCUUAAUGUACAAUAUCUGGCAACUCAGCAUAGCUGACUGUUGGUCCAAAAGCCAGUGGAAUUUUGUUCAGAGGCAUGAGGUAUCUUAACCUUUUUUCCCCGAAUAAAAUAAUGUGUUUUCUGGGCUACUUUAUGAAAUGACGAAUUGCUUAUCUCACUUUUACUGUUAUUUGUAUUGUUCCUUUCUUCUGUCAGCGUCCUAAAUCUUUUGCUGAUUUGCACUGCUGAUUUCUGUAGGUGUCUAUUUAGUAGUACUAGUAUUUUGCAAUGUUCUCUAGCUUCAUCUUACAUCGUUCCUUUCUGGAAGGGUUUGCUGAGCUGCUGCUUCUCUUUCGUGUUCAAAAGGGGCACAUCUUUUGAUCAAAGAGAGAAAAUAUAGCUAUGACGUCCCUCUGCCUUGGAGCCUCUUGUUGGAAAACUUUACUCUCUUUUGGAGAAUGAUUGAAAAUGCAUGAGUGGCCAAAGUGUUUAUAAUCUCAGAACUAUCCAGACUCUUGCGGAAAACAGGCCGACAAGUUUAGGAGAAAAUAACUGUUGAUGGGGUAUUUAUUUAUAUAUUUAUCUAGUUGAGAGAACAAUAGUUUGUUUCCUUAGCUUCUUCCUGAAGCCCUGUUAAAAAAUGCAAAAGCUGGUUGACUGAUUUGUCCUUGGAAAAUCAUUUAGAUGUCUCAGGCGGCGGCGGCUGCAUAUUUUCUGUGCUCUUUUUAUACGUCUGGGGUGAAAGUUACGGAUGCCAAUGUCAGGAGAUGCAUCCUUGGUCCUUGUAUGUAUGUUUGGCGUCAUAGUUUUCUUCCAUUUUUUACCUUCUUGCACUUUUAAACCUGAACUCGAAACCUUCAAAGUUUUUUCACGUUACAUGAAUCACAUCCAUAAAUGUCUUCAGGUUUUACUCUUGACAUGAGUACGUUUGGUCAUUGACGCCUUUUAUUAUACUUAAUAAAUACUACUACCGAGUAUAUGUUUCUUUUCAUCAAUUUAUUUAUAUUUGUGAGGGAGUUUCCAUAACGAAAUUGGAUGAGCCAUUGUACAUUGGAUUUGCUUUCAUUUCGUGAUAUUUGAAUACUAGCAAGGGUAAGACUAAAGCUGGCCUACACACAGUGACAGAAUAAAAAAUGGGGGAGAAGGGAAGGUAGGAGAAAGAACAUGGGCAUAGACACGCAUGGAAAAACAUGCACUAAUUGCAACACGAAGAGGCAAACAAUCGAAUCGUUGCCAUGUCUACAUUUUUUUUGAGGGGUCGUUGCCAUCUCUACCCGGCCACAUUGUACUACCAAAAUGCAUGGGCUCUCUGUAAUACUACCCCAUUUCAUUAAACGAGGUCACUAUAAAAUAUACAUUUGCAUCUAUAUAUAAGGCCAUCAAUAGUAAUCGACGCAAAAAUUAAAUAUUAAUGAUACUUUCUCGUACUACUACCUCCGUCUCAGUGAAUAAGUCAUUCGCGUAGUUCUAGGUCGACAAUUUAACUAUCUAAAUAUGUAUUAUAUGUGACAAGAAAUAUAUAUUUAGAAACUACAUUCGUGUAGAAAUCUAGUGAUAUACUUUUCAUGACAUAUAACACAUAUUUAAUUGCUCAAAUCGAUGACCUAGAACUACGCGAAUGACUUAUUCACCUAGACGGAGGUAGUAGCAACUUUAAUAUUUUCAUGCAUGCAGUCAUAAUGACACUAGUUAUUUCCUUGCUCGGCACCCACUCAGUUUCCUAUUCCUUUCUUGCGUGCACGAUGCGUAUUCAUUAUUCCAGUAACGAAAAGAAAAGUUGGUUUGCAAAAUAGACAUUGAAUUUUACCUUCAUACCUGUAAUACGAGUUUGUGAUCUUGUAUAUAAAAAUAGAGAGAGUACCGCGUUUACAGAUUUGACAUGACUUGCACUUGGGAGAAUUUUAUAUCUAAUGCCAGUUAAAUGUAAGCUGGAGAUUUAAUUGUGUAGGUUUGUUCCUUCGCCUUCAAUUACACAGCUUCUGGUUGAUUCGUCAGAUCUAUUUGGGAUUGUACCCUCUGGUUUAGAAUGAGUUGUCAUUGAGUUAACAACAAAAGUCUUUUAGACUUGGUGAAGCUAUUGUUAGCGCCCCUGACGACUCGUCCCCACCGGCUAACAAGACCCGGGCCCGGCCCAGCCGUGCCUGACGCGGCAACCCGCGCUACUUUGGCCCGGAAUGGCACAACCAGCCCGGCCCAGUGGCCCCGACUACUUAAGGCACCGCUCCCUGCUCUCCCCCUCAUCCAGUGGAUCACGAAACCGGUGGCGGCACGAACCCUAGUUCUUCCUUGUUCGAUCCAUUCUUGUACUCAACAUUGUAUCCUGACCAUAUUGCCACCGAGAGAAAUACUAGAUCGAUCUCGUCCCUAGCUCGUCCCUAACAUCUGGUAUCAGUCGCCAGCAAUCCACCUUCCCUCCGCCCGAUCUGGCUCACAUCAUCGAGACAAGAGGGAUUCGCCACGGCCGCAACGCCAUCGAAGCCAUGGAUCCAGCGGCGAAAGCUUACCUCGACAAGCUCACGACGACGAUGGAGGCCAACACCGCGGCCCUCACCGCGGCCCUCACCGCGGGCACCUCCCAUCUCGAUGAUCACGUCGCAUGGCGGCCGGAUCUGGAGCGCCGCGUCACCGAUCUGGGCGACGCGGUCACCGCUCUGCAGCAGGCGUGGGCAAACCCCAUCUCCGACAACAACGGGGCCGCGCCGCCGCUGCGUUCUGUGGCGCCACCGUCCGCGCUGCCCACCAACAAAUUGGGCCUGGCAGAAGGCGAUGAGGACGCCCCUCAAGGGUCUAAGGACCACGGCGAUUUCCACAUACAUNNNNNNNNNNNNNNNNNNNNNNNNNNNNNNNNNNNNNNNNNNNNNNNNNNNNNNNNNNNNNNNNNNNNNNNNNNNNNNNNNNNNNNNNNNNNNNNNNNNNNNNNNNNNNNNNNNNNNNNNNNNNNNNNNNNNNNNNNNNNNNNNNNNNNNNNNNNNNNNNNNNNNNNNNNNNNNNNNNNNNNNNNNNNNNNNNNNNNNNNNNNNNNNNNNNNNNNNNNNNNNNNNNNNNNNNNNNNNNNNNNNNNNNNNNNNNNNNNNNNNNNNNNNNNNNNCCACUCCCGGCCAACGGUCAGAUCGAGAUCUCAUCUUCUCCUUUUGCUCAUGCUAGUCAAAUGCUGGCGGGAUUGGGACAAGCCCAUCCCUCCAUUUCGUUUCCUCAAUUUUCGGGCGAAAAUCCGAACAUGUGGAAAACGAUGUGUGAACAAUACUUUUCCAUGUUUGGUAUUCACAAAACAUUUUGGGUUCCCAUGGCCACACUCAAUUUCUCAGGGGCCGCGGCCAUUUGGCUGCAAUCAAUCCAAAAGAAGCUCAAUAGCUUUGAUUGGGAGUCCUUCUCUGCACUGUUAACUACAUGUUUCGGUCGCGAUCGCCACCAACUGCUCAUUCGGCAAUUUUACACCAUUAAGAAGACAUCCACUGUAGCUGAUUUCAUCGAGCGCUUUGAAUUAGUCAUUAAUCAUUUGAGCUCUUAUUCCGAUUCGAUUCACCCAUUUUAUUUUCUCACCCGUUUUGUGGAAGGAUUACGAGCGGAUAUACCGAGCAGUGGUCAUGGUGUAACGACCGCCUGAUCUGGACACGGCAUGCGCGUUGGCGCUGCUCCAGGAGGAGGUGGCUGACAAUGCUCGCGCGAAGGUGCAGCGCCCUACUCCAACGCGCCCUCCCGACGCGUCACCGCGGCUCAGCAUACCGAUGCCAUUACCAGCCCCACCGGCGCGCACAACUCCACCAGCACCAGCCACGGACCGCCGCGGCACGGACGCCGCACGAGCCGACUCCUCCAAGCUCAAGGCCCUACGCGACUACCGGCGUGCGCGCGGGCUGUGCUUCAAAUGCGGUGAGCGCUGGGGACCCGACCACGCCUGCCCUACGUCGGUCCAACUCCACGUAGUCGAAGAACUUCUGGAGCUCUUCGGCAUCGACGCGACAACAACGCCAACGCCGUUCGAAGCCGCACCAGAUGAAGUGGCNNNNNNNNNNNNNNNNNNNNNNNNNNNNNNNNNNNNNNNNNNNNNNNNNNNNNNNNNNNNNNNNNNNNNNNNNNNNNNNNNNNNNNNNNNNNNNNNNNNNNNNNNNNNNNNNNNNNNNNNNNNNNNNNNNNNNNNNNNNNNNNNNNNNNNNNNNNNNNNNNNNNNNNNNNNNNNNNNNNNNNNNNNNNNNNNNNNNNNNNNNNNNNNNNNNNNNNNNNNNNNNNNNNNNNNNNNNNNNNNNNNNNNNNNNNNNNNNNNNNNNNNNNNNNNNNNNNNNNNNNNNNNNNNNNNNNNNNNNNNNNNNNNNNNNNNNNNNNNNNNNNNNNNNNNNNNNNNNNNNNNNNNNNNNNNNNNNNNNNNNNNNNNNNCAAGGCAUUCCAGCUACGCGCAUGGAUCCAAGGGCGCGAAGUGUUGAUGCUUGUCGACUCCGGCAGCACCACUUCAUUCAUCAACGAGCGGCUUGCGGCAGCCAUCCAGGGUGUUCAGCCUCUUCCACGCGCUUAUCAAGUGCGCGUGGCUGACGGGGGAGCACUCAACUGCUCUUCAAGUGUGCCACAGUGCCAAUGGUGCACUCAAGGGCACCAAUUCACGAUGAAUAUGAAGGUGCUGGCCUCGGAACGUACGACGCAAUCUUGGGCAUGGACUGGCUCGAGGAGCACAGUCCCAUGACUAUAGACUGGCGGGCGAAGUUCAUCGAGAUUUCGUCGCCCGCGGGCCCGAUUCGCCUCCGUGGGCACGAAGCUACUUCUUCGACUUGCACGGUCAUCAACGCCCUCCAGCUCCAACACCUGUGCAACACCGACGCCAUCACCCACAUGGCGCUGAUCUACGCAACUGCUAGCGAAGACAACAACAACACCACCAACUCGCCAGAGAUCCAAGUAGUUCUGGAGGAAUUUGCUGACGUGUUCAAGGAGCCAGAAGGGUUACCGCCUCGUCGCGACUGCGACCACAAGAUCCCUCUCAUCCCAGGAGCCCAACCUGUGAACAUCCGGCCCUACCGGCACAAACCAGAGCACAAGAGGGAGAUUGAUGCUCAAGUCGAAGAACUCCUUCGCAAGGGGAUCAUACAGAAAAGCAGUAGCUCUUUUUGCUCCCCAGCCAUCCUUGUCAAGAAGAAGGACGGGACGUGGAGACUCUACAUCGACUACAGACACCUCAACGCCAUCACCUACAUCACCAAGUACCCUGUGCCUAUCAUCGAAGAGUUGCUGGACGAGUUGCACGGUGCAGCCUGGUUCUCCAAGUUGGAUCUUCGCCCAGGCUAUCACAAAAUCCGCUUGGCAGAAGGUGAAGAGCAUAAAACAGCGUUCCAGACGCACUCAGGCCACUAUGAAUUCUUUGUGGUGUCUUUCGGGCUAGCUGGUGGACCGUCCACGUUCAAUUGAGCACUGACAACAACUCUCAAACUAGUCAACCGCAAGUGUGUGCUCCUCUUCUUCGAUGACAUACUUGUAUUCAGUAAGACGCUGUGAGACCACGUCGAUCAUUUGCGACAAGUUCUGCAACUUUUGCGCCAAGAUCAAUGGCGCAUGAAGAUGUCCAAGUGUGAGUUCGGCCAGCACAGUCUCUCAUAUCUUGGGCAUGUCAUCAGCAACCGGGGAGUAUCUAUAGAACCAACCAAGAUACGAGCCGUAUCCAACUGGACGACACCAACUGACGUCAAGGCGGUGCGUAGCUUCUUGGGGCUAGCCGGAUACUACCGGCGAUUUGUCAAGAACUUUGGGAUCAUUGCUUGCCCUCUGUUUAACCUGCUAAAGAAAGGGGUGCCGUUCGUGUGGACACUAGCUACAGAAACAGCCUUCCAACUGCUUAAGCAACAUCUGAUCGAAGCUCCGGUCCUGGCACUACCAAACUUCUCCAAGCCAUUUAUAGUCGAGACUGACGCUUGUGACAAAGGGAUUAGGGCGAUACUGCAACAGGAUGGCCACCCGAUUGCAUAUAUGAGCAAGGCCCUGAGAUCCCGGUACCAGGGCCUCUCGACCUACGAGAAGGAAUACUUGGUAGUUAUUGUAGCUGUGGACCAGUGGCGCCCCUACCUCCAACAUGCUGAAUUCACCAUCCUCACUGAUCAACGCAGCUUGACACACCUGGCGGAGCAAAGGCUUUCGACACCAUGGCAGCAACGCGCUUUCACUAAACUUUCGGGGAUCCGAUACAUCAUCAGGUACAAAAAGGGAGCCGAGAACACAGCCGUGGAUGCCCUGUCCAGAGCAAAAACAUCUAAGGUGCUGCACACCCUCAGCAUAUGCCAACCAGCGUGGCUCGAAGAUAUUGUCACCAGCUACAACACUAACACUCAAGCGCAAAAACUCCUCGAGCAGCUGGCUGUGCGAGAGGAUCCAAAAGGAAGAUUCCAACUUCAGAACGUGCUGCUUCGUUUCCGUGGCCGCAUCUGGCUGGGAGGAACCACAACUAUGCAACAACACAUCAUCGCAGCCUUCCAUGACAGCCCGAUGGGUGGUCACUCUAGCUUCCCGGUGACAUAUUGCCGCAUUCGCAGGCUGUUUGCUUGGCCCAAGAUGAAGGCGCACGUGCAGCAGUAUGUGCGGUGCUGCUAGGUCUGUCAGCAGGCCAAACCAGACCGCACAGCUUCGCCGGGGCUGUUGAUGCCGUUGCCAAUACCCAAAGAGUCAUGUGAUCUGAUCACAAUGGACUUUGUGGACGGACUGCCGCAGUCAGGACAAUACAACUGCCUUCUCGUUGUGGUCGACAAAAGAACACAGUUUGCCCACUUCCUACCCCUGGCUCACCCCUAUACUGCAGCUAAAGUGGCUCUCCUAUGCAUGCAACAACUGUACAAGCUCCAUGGAUUCCCAGGGCAAUUGUAUCUGACCGCGACCCCAUUUUCACCAGCCAUUUCUGGCAAGAACUGUUCAAAUAUGCAGGCACAGAGCUGAGAAUGAGCACGGCGAACCACCCACAAACUGAUGGCCAAACAGAGAGGGUAAACCAGUGCAUUGAAACUUACCUACAUUGCUUUGUUCAGGCAUGCCCGAAACGCUGGAGCUUCUGGGUACCCCUGGCGCAAUUCUGGUACAAUUCAUCGCAUCACUCGGCCAUCGGAAUGACACCUUUCAAAGCCAUGUUCGGGAGGGAACCAAGACACUAGGGGAUCACUACUUCUACUUCAUCUUCAGUGCCGGCGCUGCAAACCUGGCUGGAGGAACGGGCAGCAAUGCAGGACUGUUGGGGAACGUAGUAAUUUCAAAAAAAUUCCUACGCACACACAAGAUCAUGGUGAUGCAUAGCAACGAGAGGGGAGAGUGUUGUCUACGUACCCUCGUAGACCGAAGCGGAAGCGUUGACACAACGUAGAGGAAGUAGUCGUACGUCUUCCCGGUUCGACCGAUCCAAGCACCGUUACUCCGGCACCUCCGAGUUCUUGACACACGUACAGCUCGAUGACGCACCCCGGGCUCCGAUCCAGCAAAGCUUCAGGGAGGAGUUCUGUCAGCACGACGGCGUGGUGACGAUCUUGAUGUUCAACUGUCGCAGGGCUUCGCCUAAGCACCGCUACAAUAUGACCGAGGUGUAAUAUCGUGGAGAGGGGCACCGCACACGGCUAAGGAACGAUCACGAUGAUCAACUUGUGUGUCUAUGGGGUGCCCCUGCCCCCGUAUAUAAAGGAGUGGAGGAGGGGAGGGCCGGCCCUCUCUAUGGCGCGCCCUAGGGGAGUCCUACUCCCACCGGGAGUAGGAUUCCCCCUUUCCUAGUCCAACUAGGAGACCUUCCAAGUAGUAGGAGUAGGAGACAAGGAAGGGGAAGAGAGAAGGGAAGGAAGGAGGGGGUGCGGCCCCUCCCCCUAGUCCAAUUCGGACUAGGCCAUGGGGGGGCGUGCGGCCUGCCCUAGGCAGCCCCUCUCUCUUUCCCGUAUGGCCCAAUAAGGCCCAAUACUUCUCCCCGGCGAAUUCCCGUAACUCUCCGGUACUCCGAUAAAUACCCGAAUCACUCGGAACCUUUACGAACUCCGAAUAUAGUCGUCCAAUAUAUCGAUCUUUACGUCUCGACCAUUUCGAGACUCCUCGUCAUGUCCCCAAUCUCAUCCGGGACUCCGAACUCCUUCGGUACAUCAAAACUCAUAAACUCAUAAUAUAACUGUCAUCGAAACCUUAAGCGUGCGGACCCUACGGUUCGAGAACAAUGUAGACAUGACCGAGACACGUCUCCGGUCAAUAACCAAUAGCGGGACCUGGAUGCCCAUAUUGGUUCCUACAUAUUCUACGAAGAUCUUUAUCGGUCAGACCGCAUAACAACAUACGUUGUUCCCUUUGUCAUCGGUAUGUUACUUGCCCGAGAUUCGAUCGUCGGUAUCCAAUACCUAGUUCAAUCUCGUUACCGGCAAGUCUCUUUACUCGUUCCGUAAUACAUCAUCUCGCAACUAACUCAUUAGUUGCAAUGCUUGCAAGGCUUAAAUGAUGUGCAUUACCGAGAGGCCCAGAGAUACCUCUCCGACAUUCGGAGUGACAAAUCCUAAUCUCGAAAUACGCCAACCUAACAAGUACCUUUGGAGACACCUGUAGAGCACCUUUAUAAUCACCCAGUUACGUUGUGACGUUUGGUAGCACACAAAGUGUUCCUCCGGUAAACGGGAGUUGCAUAAUCUCAUAGUCAUAGGAACAUGUAUAAGUCAUGAAGAAAGCAAUAGCAACAUACUAAACGAUCGGGUGCUAAGCUAACUGAAUGGGUCAUGUCAAUCACAUCAUUCUCCUAAUGAUGUGAUCCCGUUAAUCAAAUGACAACUCAUGUCUAUGGCUAGGAAAUAUAACCAUCUUUGAUUAACAAGAUAGUCAAGUAGAGGCAUACUAGUGACACUCUGUUUGUCUAUGUAUUCACACAUGUAUCAUGUUUCCGAUUAAUACAAUUCUAGCAUGAAUAAUAAACAAUUAUCAUGAAAUAAGGAAAUAAAUAAUAACUUUAUUAUUGCCUCUAGGGCAUAUUUCCUUCAGUCUCCCACUUGCACUAGAGUCAAUAAUCUAGAUCACAUCACCAUGUGAUUAACAUCGAUAGUUCACAUCAUCAUGUGAUUAACACCCAUAGUUCACAUCGCCAUGUGACCAACACCCAAAGGGUUUACUAGAUUCAGUGAUCUAGUUCACAUCGCUAUGUGAUUAACACCCAAAGAGUACUAAGGUGUGAUCAUGUUUUGCUUGUGAGAGAAUCUUAGUCAACGGGUCUUUCAUAUUCAGAUCUGUUAUGUAUUUUGCAAUUUUCUAUGUCUACAAUGCUCUGCACGGAGCUACUCUAGCUAAUUGCUCCCACUUUCAAUAUGUAUCUAGAUCGAGACUUAGAGUCAUCCAGAUCGGUGUCAAAACUUGCAUCGACAUAACCCUUUACGACGAACCUUUUGUCACUUCCAUAAUCGAGAAACAUAUCCUUAUUCCACUAAGGAUAAUUUUGACCGCUGUCCAGUGAUCUACUCCUAGAUCACUAUUGUACUCCCUUGCCAAACUUAGUGCAGGGUAUACAAUAGAUCUGGUACACAACAUGGCAUACUUUAUAGUACCUAUGGCCAAGGCAUAGGGAAUGACUUUCAUUCUCUUUCUAUCUUCUGCCGUGGUCGGGUUUUGAGUCUUACUCAAUUUCACACCUUGUAACACAGGCAAGAACUCUUUCUUUGACUGUUCCAUUUUGAACUACUUCAAAAUCUUGUCAAGGUAUGUACUCAUUGAAAAACUUAUCAAGCAUCUUGAUCUAUCUCUAUAGAUCUUGAUGCUCAAUAUGUAAGCAGCUUCACCGAGGUCUUUCUUUGAAAAACUCCUUUCAAACACUCCUUUAUGCUUUGCAGAAUAAUUCUACAUUAUUUCUGAUCUACAAUAUGUCAUUCACAUAUACUUAUCAGAAAUGCUGUAGUGCUCCCACUCACUUUCUAGUAAAUACAGGCUUCACUGCAAGUCUGUAUAAACUAUAUGCUUUGAUCAACUUAUCAAAGCGUAUAUUCCAACUCCGAGAUGCUUGCACCAGUCCAUAGAUGGAUCGCUGGAGCUUGCACAUUUUGUUAGCACCUUUAGGAUUGACAAAACCUUCUGGUUGCAGCAUAUACAACUCUUCUUUAACAAACCCAUUAAGAAAUGCAAUUUUGACAUCCUUUUGCCAGAUUUCAAAAAA